AGUCCGCUUGCCUUGGCCUCCCAAAGUGCUGGGAUUACAGGUUUGAGCCACUACACCCAGCCAAAAAGUUUUUCUCUCCUCAGAGAGCUCUGCUUGUUAGAAACUUCUACCUGAGAAUAAGGAAACCUGUCUCUCUGUAUCAUGCAAAUGGAAUAAAAUAGAAACACAACUCUUGUUUUCCAGUACAGAAACUCUAGCUGCUCGGGUGGACUGUCUAUCCUUCCCUGAAGUGCUGCACCCCUCUGUGUUGUUCAUCAGGCCAUGUGUCCUUAUAAUGGGCCUUUCUAUUGGUAGAUAAAAACUUCCCUCCCCUGUUCACGCAGCUGCUACCCAAGUAUCCUGUGUGUGACACCAAUCUUAAUAGUAGAAGAACUUUCAAGUCUCCACUGCCUCCUUCCUAUCUGCCUUACAGCCUGUGGUAGUUGCUGAAGAACUUUAAUUACAGUGUCAGUGUUCAGGGACAGUCCCAACUCUCUUCAUGUGAGGAUUGCAGAAAUGGGCUUGGAUCAUAUACAGACAGCGUCAUGAGGCAUUACUGAAGAACAGUAAGUUCUGUCACAGAAGAUGUCAACUAAUAUAGGCAUUUUCUUUGCCAUACCCCAAGAGCAGGAGCUGAUUCCUGUACAGGUAGGAUAUAGCUGGCCAGUAAUCUCUUUAAAUGUAAUUUCUGUCUGCCACAUUUUAAAUUACAGGUUUUUGCAUCAGGAAACUGUUGGGUCAGAUUAUUUGGUGCCUUGGAAAGGGCAUUAGAUGCAUAGUGAAAAGACCUUGGUUUAAUCUGACAUUCCACCCGCUAGCUGUAGAAGCUUGAGCAAGUUAAUUAAUCUCUGAGUCUGUAUACCCAUCUGCAAAAUGAGGAUAAUGCUUAUCUUAUAGAGUGUUGUGAAAGCGAUGAAGAUUGUGUGAAAGGGUUUCAUAAACUGACAAGCACUGCACAAAUGUAAGGUCUCCUAAGGAAAACCUCUUCAAAAUUCAAAAUCUAUAUGAACAAAGAUACUUACUCAUGUUAGGUGGAAUGUUUUACAGCUAUUAAAAAUCAAAAGAAAAUGUAUUGAAAAAAUACAAUUUAACAUGGUGAAUUUGCAAUUACAACAGUGUAAAAGCUGUGUACAUAGACUAGAAUAUGGAAAAAAAUGAAUUACAGGGCAGUGGAAUUGAGUGACUUUUUCUUUAAAGCCUCUUAGGUAUAUUAGGUGUACUCAGUUUAGUUCAAUAAACUUUUAUUGAGCUCUCACUCUCCCAAGCCCCGUGCUAGAUUCUAUGGGUGCUGAGACAAAUAGGACAUACUCCCUCAUCUCAGGGGCUCCCAUUCUGUACAGUCUUGUCAAAGUUUACUGUGUAAAUGAAUCACUGGGGAGCAUAUUAAAAAUUCACAUUAUCCUACUCCCACCAGAAACUACCACACCUCUCAACUUUUAUCUCUUUUCCUCACUCCAUUUCUCCCCAGCACUUCUCCUAUGUUUGCUUCUUUCUAUGCAAGUGUUAAUCUCCCACUCUGGUUCUUUCUAUGCCUAGUACUGUAUCAACAUCCAGGUGCUUCCCCUUCCUUUCUCCACCCCAUCCCCCAGCCAGAUAUGUCAAUUGUAUUGAAAACAACAACUUACAUCUAGUUUACUAAGUACAAACUUGUGCUGGUUAAUGUUUCUCAAAAAGUAGGAGUGGGCUGUUUGUUGAUCAACAAUCUUUUUUUUUAAUCCGAUAUGGAAAUUUUGGUGUCAAGUUUCACUAUCACUUAGUUCCUGAUUGAUUUUCUUCUGAUGGGUUAGUAGCCCUCGACAGAAAAGUUUAAAAGUCCUCUGCUCAGGUAUCUGUCUUGCUCAUAGAGCUGGGGUUACCCUGCACCCUGACUCAACAUUGCUUGUCUCCACAUGCCUGUAAAUGGACUUGGGUGGCUUUCUCAGGCUAUACACCUGUCACUUCUUAGUCACCCAGAAUCAAAACAUUAACAGCUCUGAUCACAUUGAACCUAUGAGGCUUUAUUUCAAGAGUGGUGACACUCCAAAAUGCAGCUAGAAUUUCCGCAUUUUCACGUGUUAGUGUUGAAAUUAUUUUUCAGGAAACCAAGGGUUGGACAAUGGCUUCCAGACUUUCUCCUUUCGUUAUGCUCCUUCAGCACUUUAUGCAAAUACUGGUUGUCUUAUGCUGCCAUUCGUCUCUGCCAGAAUGUGAGCUCCACGACAGCAGGGAUAAGAAUGCAUUCAUUUUUGUAUCUGCAGUGCAAAUACAAAUUUGUAUCAUUUUGUAUUGGAGAGUGUCUGACACAUACUGGGCACUCAUUGAAAAACUGCCAAAUGAAUCAUAAAGGUGACCAAAAACAGGGCGGGGGGGUAUUUAUGUGUCUGAAAUAGCUUAUGAAUUUUUAAACUAUCCCUUUCAGUACAAAUCUGCCUGGAGCUGUUUCCUGAACACAGGACCAAAAGGCAGGAAUCAAAAGUAAUAAUGAGUUUAGUUAUCUGUCUGUUACUGAAGGUGACUUCUAGGGCAUCCUCCUGGCAUUGCUUCUGGAAUACAGUGACUUAGACUUCUUCUGAAGAACAUCUCUAUGCUGUUCAUCAUAUCGCCAGCACCUAGCCCUGUGCCUGUGCAUAGCAAAUGCUCAGAAAAGAAAAAACAACAGUUUCCAGCUCUUACUCUUGGUUGACACUGGACCUUGGAGAUGCUUGCAGGUAAUUGGACUGCAUCUACUUUCCUUUUUUGGUUUCCAGCUCUUACUCUUGGUUGACACUGGACCUUGGAGAUGCUUGCAGGUAAUUUGACUGCAUCUACUUUCCUUUUUUGGUUAAUUGUGUUAAAUGUGCCUCAUAACUUCUAUUCCCAGUGAGGCUGUCAUUUAGAAGGGGUGGGUGGGGGCUGAGGGGAAGCUGUUUUAAUUCUGGCUUUUGUUUCAGUCACUAAAUGUAAUGCCACAUGAUUGUUGACCCAACAAUAAUCCAGUUAAAAAACAGUCUUCAGAGUUACUACAUCAUCAGAAUUAACCCUGAUUACAUCAAAUUAUGUUGAAACAGACCACAGCUGUUUGCCCUGUUGAAGCAACUGCUUGAGAGCUCCUCCGGAAGAUACAUCUGGGUGUCACUAAGAUACAUUUUGGGUUUAAUUUUGUUUCUCAACACAAAUGUAGGAGGGAAACAAACCCUGUUCUGCUGGGGUGCUUGGUGGGAGCUGAAAACCUUGUGAUUCUCCCGCAGUCAAAAGUCAUCUCAAUUACCAAAGAGAAGGGAACCUGAGAUCUUUUGUUUCAGUUUUCUAUAGGAAGGAUGUAAGAGGGAGGAAAUUCAAAUCUGUUGAGUAUUGCUCUUGCCAGCAAAAAGAAGUGGAACUGACUAGUGAGAAGGUGGUGGGAUUUUCUUUGGUGGCUGUAUGCAGUGGUGUCAACCCAGGAGAGUAGACUGUUCAAUUGUGAAGAAUUUUGCAAGACGGUUCUUAAAAUAUAAUAUCGUUAAAAUUAAGUUGUAAUAAAAAAAUGGGAAAUAAGCAUUGGAAAAGAUGUGGACAGAUUGGAACCCACAUACAUUGCUGAUGGGAAUGUAAAAUGGUGUAGCCACUGUGGAAAAAAUUCAGCAGUUCCUUAAAAAGUUAAACAGUGUCACCAUAUGACUCAGCAUUUUCACUCCUAGAUAGAUACCUAGAUUGAAAACAUAUGUCCACAUAAAAACUUGUACAGGAAUGAUCGCAACAGCAUUAUUCAUAAUAGCCAAAAAGCGGAAACAACGAUAAUGUUCAUCAGUUGAUGAAUGGAUAAAAUGCGGCGUAUAAAGAACUGUUAAGUGCUUCAACAUGGAUGAACCUUGAAAACAUUAUACAAAGCCAAAGAAGUUAGACACACGAGGUCACAUAUUGUAUGAAUAUGGUUAUUUGAAAUGUCUAGAAUUGGCAAAUCCGUAGAGAUGAAAAGUAGGUUAGCGGUUGCCAGAGGAUGGGAUUAGAGGAAUGGGGAGUUAAUGCUAACGGAUAUGGUGUUUCUUUUGGGGUAAUGAAAAUGUUCUGGAAUUAGAUAGCUGUGAUGGUUGUCAAAGUUGAUGAAUAUAUUAGAAACCAUGAAUUAUAAACUUUAACAUGGUGAUUUUUGUGAUAUGUGAAUAUCUUAAUUAAAAAAUUAAGUUAUAUAAACUUACAAUUAAAUAAGUUAUAUUUAAAAGAAAGGUAGUAACUACCCCAAACCCAUCACUUGGCUAAUUACUUUACAUUUUACUAUCAUGUUCUUGGUAUUAUUUAUGUCUAUUGUGUCUUUAUGUUGGAAAUACUAAAUAAUGGUGUAUUACUGUGUAUCUCUUAACUCUGUAUGCGAGGACAUUCACUUGAUAGCUUAAAACUGGCCAUGGCUGGCAGAGUAUUUAUGCCACAACAGUUGGUAUAUACUGUAAAUCAAGGCACCCACCAACACCACCAGGGAGCCAAUUUAAAAAUAUUUGCCAGCACAUCACUGGCUGUAUUGUUGGACAGUCAUCUUGAGUAAUUCUGGUAGAAUUACAUAGUUAGAUGAGAUGAAAUCCUGAGGCCUCUAGGUCUCCAACAAAACAAAGACUAGCAAGCCUGCACAGUUACUAUGCAAUUCAUCAGGUGCAGAAGGAAAUGACAUUUCUGGUCAUCUGUUGAAUAAAGUCACUUUGAAUUCAGGGGACAUGGUUUUCUCCAGUUUCACUAGUGUUGCAUCUGGUACAAGGGGUUGAGUGCUAAGCCCCUGCAGGAUUGUCACAGUGAAGCCAGAUAACAGAGUAACCACAAAGAGAUUUAAUUCUGUAAUCCCACAAAGGAGGACGUCUAAAGAGUGUACAACAGUGUCAGAGUUUGGAAACCAAGGGUUGACAAAGUUGGCUCUCUGGAAUCUGGGGGUAGCAGUUAAAAGGUUAAAGGAGUCAUUGUUUUUUGAAACUAUCCAAGAGUUACAGCCAUCUUUUUUUUUUUUUUUUUUUUUUUUUUUAAGAAUUCGGGGAAUCUUAUUUUCUUACAUGUUUCUGGAAUUUUUCAUUUUUAAAAAAAUGUAUUUUUAAGUUCCAGGGUACAUGUGCAGGAUGUGCAGGUUUGUUAUAUACGUAAAUGUGUGCUAUGGUGGUGUGCUGUACCUAUCAACCCAUGAUCGAGGUAUGAAGCUCAGCAAGCAUUAGCUAUUUUUCCUAAUGCUCUCCCUCCCUCUCCCAACCCCCCCCCCAACCACCCCACACAGGUCCCAGUGUGUGUUUCUGUCCCUGUGUCCUUGUGUUCUCAUUGUUCAGCUCCCACUUACAAGUGAGAACAUGCAGUGUUUGGUUUUCUGUUCCUGUGUUAGUUUGAUGAGGAUAAUGCCUUCCAGCUCCAUCCAUGUCCCUGCAAAGGACAUGAUCUCGUUCCUUUUUAUGGCAAGUUACAACCAUUUUUAAAAGUGGAACUGCACAGGAUUACCUCAACCUACUAUGUUCUUCCAGCUAGGCCGUCCCUGUGGGUUUAAACACAAUGUAAAGAAAGUGGAUGUUAAGUGUUCUUACCACAAAAAUGAUAACUAUAUUAGGUAAUACAUUUGUUAGUUAGCUAGAUUUAACUAUCACACCGAGUAUUUUAUGUAUUUGUAUUUAUAUUUCAAAACAUCAUGUUGUACACAAUAAAUACAUACGAUGUUACCUGA